rnacentral:tRNA from 1 species
GACAGGGUUGUCUAGUGGUUAAGGCUGAAGGGUUAAGCUGCUAGCUCAUUGUGCUCUAUAUACAUGAGUUCAAAUCCCACCUUCAUC